rnacentral:rRNA from 1 species
CGGAGGAAAAGAAACUAACAAGGAUUCCCCUAGUAACGGCGAGUGAAGCGGGAUGAGCUCAAAUUUAAAAUCUGGCGGCCUCAGGUCGUCCGAGUUGUAGUCUAGAGAAUCGUUUUCCGCGUUGGCCUGUGUACAAGUCCCUUGGAACAGGGCGUCAUAGAGGGUGAGAAUCCCGUCCUUGACACAGAUUACCAAUGCUUUGUGAUGCGAUCUCGAAGAGUCGAGUUGUUUGGGAAUGCAGCUCAAAAUGGGUGGUAAAUUCCAUCUAAAGCUAAAUAUUGGCGAGAGACCGAUAGCGAACAAGUACCGUGAGGGAAAGAUGAAAAGCACUUUGGAAAGAGAGUUAAACAGUACGUGAAAUUGUUAAAAGGGAAACGAUUGAAGUCAGUCAUGCUUUCCGAGACUCAGCCGAUUCUGUCGGUGUACUUCUCGGUUGGCAGGCCAGCAUCAGUUUCGAUCUGUGGAAAAGGUUGGAGGGAACGUGGCAUCUCCGGAUGUGUUAUAGCCCUUCUUCGAAUACAUAGAGCGGGACUGAGGAACGCAGCGCGCCUUUUAUUAGGUUGGCCCUCGGGUACAUACGCGCUUAGGAUGCUGGCAUAAUGGCUUUAAACGACCC